rnacentral:rRNA from 1 species
UACGAAGGGGGCUAGCGUUGCUCGGAAUCACUGGGCGUAAAGGGUGCGUAGGCGGGUCUUUAAGUCAGGGGUGAAAUCCUGGAGCUCAACUCCAGAACUGCCUUUGAUACUGAGGAUCUUGAGUUCGGGAGAGGUGAGUGGAACUGCGAGUGUAGAGGUGAAAUUCGUAGAUAUUCGCAAGAACACCGGUGGCGAAGGCGGCUCACUGGCUCAUUACUGACGCUCAGGCGCGACAGCGUGGGGAUCAAACAGG